rnacentral:rRNA from 1 species
AAAAGAAACUAACAAGGAUUCCCUGAGUAACGGCGAGCGAAAAGGGAAGAGCCCAGCGCCGAAUCUCAUGCCCCACGGGUAUGAAGACAUGUGGCGUUUGGGACAAGGCAUUGCCUGUGCAGAAUGGCUAUCCAAGUCCCUCUUGAACGGGGCCAUUGCCCAUGGAGGGUGCUAGGCCCGUACGAUAGCUUUAUUGUGCAGUGCGUCUUGUCCGUAGAGUCGGGUUGCUUGGGAGUGCAGCCCAAAUCAGGUGGUAAACUCCAUCUAAGGCUAAAUAUGACCACGAGACCGAUAGCGAACAAGUACCGUGAGGGAAAGUUGAAAAGAACUUUGAAGAGAGAGUUAAAAAGUACGUGAAACCUCUCGGGGGUAAGCGGGCAGAACUUGCAAGUAUUGAUGGGAACAUUCAGGCUUAGCGUCGGCUGUUGAUGGUGCAAGUUAAGGUGCUCUUUCGGGAGUAUCUGACCUGUGCUGUUUGUGUUGUUGACGAUACGCCGCAUUUGUUUCUGUCAUCGGGUUGCAUGCGACUGAUUUAGUAGUUUAGGUGCCGGGGUACUGCAGAUCCUUGUGGUUUGAGUCCUGGUCUCCGACUAUUGAUGCGGUCGUUGAGUUUAACGAACAGGCGUUUAUCGCGGUCAAUGGUUUCAGCGAGUUGGGUGCUUGUGAUUUGUGGACGGGUAACCGUAGCACGUUGUCUGUACCUGCUGUCAGUUGGAGCUAUUUGGCACUGUUUGAAAUUGCAAUCUAAAGCAUGCGUGGUCUGCCUGUCCCGUCUUGAAACACGGACCUAGGAGUCUAACAUGUGCGCGAGUCAUUGGGACUGUAAACCCAAAGGCGUAAUGAAAGUAAAGAUUUGAUUGCAAAUUAGAGGAGAGAUCCUGGCUCUGUAUGGCAUCCCGAAAGGGUUGUUGUGCAGGGUAGGCGCAUCUCCGGGACGUCUAUACCUCUGAAGGUGGGGCGUACCUAGAGCGUACACGUUGGGACCCGAAAGAU